GAUGAACGCUGGCGGCGUGCCUAAUACAUGCCAGUCGAGCGAACGGAUGAGGAGCUUGCUCCUCUGACGUUAGCGGCGGACGGGUGAGUAACACGUGGAUAACCUACCUAUAAGACUGGGAUAACUUCGGGAAACCGGAGCUAAUACCGGAUAAUAUAUUGAACCGCAUGGUUCAAUAGUGAAAGACGGUUUUGCUGUCACUUAUAGAUGGAUCCGCGCCGCAUUAGCUAGUUGGUAAGGUAACGGCUUACCAAGGCAACGAUGCGUAGCCGACCUGAGAGGGUGAGCGGCCACACUGGAACUGAGACACGGUCCAGACUCCUACGGGAGGCAGCAGUAGGGAAUCUUCCGCAAUGGGCGAAAGCCUGACGGAGCAACGCCGCGUGAGGGAUGAAGGUCUUCGGAUCGUAAAACUCUGUUAUUAGGGAAGAACAAAUGUGUAAGUAACUAUGCACGUCUUGACGGUACCUAAUCAGAAAGCCACGGCUAACUACGUG
rnacentral:rRNA from 1 species